GGUGGCUCAGUGGUAGAGUGCUUGCCUCGCAUGCACGAGGCCCUGGGUUCAAUUCCUCAGCACCA
rfam:Dipodomys ordii contig_20333, whole genome shotgun sequence.